rnacentral:rRNA from 1 species
UACAGAGGUCCCAAGCGUUGUUCGGAUUCACUGGGCGUAAAGGGUGCGUAGGUGGCCAGGUAAGUUUGGUGUGAAAGCUCGGAGCUUAACUCCGAAAAGUCAUUGAAUACUAUCUGGCUGGAGGGUCGGAGGGGAGACUGGAAUUCUCGGUGUAGCAGUGAAAUGCGUAGAUAUCGAGAGGAACACCAGUGGCGAAGGCGGGUCUCUGGGCCGAUACUGACGCUGGAGGAGCGAAAGCGUGGGGAGCGAACAGG